CGGGAGAUAGCUGGUUCUCCCCGAAAGCUAUUUAGGUAGCGCCUCGUGAAUUCAUCUCCGGGGGUAGAGCACUGUUUCGGCUAGGGGGCCAUCCCGGCUUACCAACCCGAUGCAAACUGCGAAUACCGGAGAAUGUUAUCACGGGAGACACACGGCGGGUGCUAACGUCCGUCGUGAAGAGGGAAACAACCCAGACCGCCAGCUAAGGUCCCAAAGUCAUGGUUAAGUGGGAAACGAUGUGGGAAGGCCCAGACAGCCAGGAUGUUGGCUUAGAAGCAGCCAUCAUUUAAAGAAAGCGUAAUAGCUCACUGGUCGAGUCGGCCUGCGCGGAAGAUGUAACGGGGCUAAACCAUGCAC
rnacentral:rRNA from 1 species